rnacentral:rRNA from 1 species
UACAGAGGGGGCAAGCGUUAUUCGGAAUUAUUGGGCGUAAAGGGCGCGUAGGCGGCAUGGCAAGUGGAUGGUGAAAUCCCUCGGCUUAACCGAGGAACUGCCGUCCAAACUGCUUCGCUUGAGACCGGGAGAGGUGAGUGGAAUUCCCAGUGUAGCGGUGAAAUGCGUAGAUAUUGGGAGGAACACCAGUGGCGAAGGCGGCUCACUGGACCGGUACUGACGCUGAUGCGCGAAAGCGUGGGGAGCAAAUGGG